GGACUACUAGGGUAUCUAAUCCUGUUCGCUCCCCACGCUUUCGCGUCUCAGCGUCAGUACCGUACUAGAGAACCGCCUUAGCCACGGGUGUUCUUCCUGAUAUCUGCGCAUUUCACCGCUACACCAGGAAUUCCAUUCUCCUCUUCCGGACUCUAGCUGGAUGGUUUCCACCGGCGUCUCGAGGUUGAGCCUCGAGUUUUCACAGCAGACCUAUCCAGCCGCCUACACGCUCUUUACGCCCAAUAAAUCCGGACAACGCUUGCCCCCUACGUAUUACCGCGGCGGCUGGCAC
rnacentral:rRNA from 1 species